UUCUAAACCAUAACAAACUUAGGUUAAUAAUUAAGUUUUUAACAUUUGCUUGUUUCGUGUUUGUUGUUUGUUUUAUUUUAAAUGCCUAAAUGAUUUACUUAUCAUGCUUAUGUGAUAUUAACUGGCUAUUUGUUACUGUUUUAUAUAAAUUGUUUAUUUGUUAUUGCUUUAUAUAAAUUGUCAUUCCGUUCAUACUUACUCCGAUUCUGGAAAAUUCACACUAUCACACGUACACGCGAGGUGUGUUUUGCGCACUCGCAAAUUUCUUUUAAAUCCCAAAAUUUAGGAGAGUUGGCAUAUGCGCGGGGUGUCCGGAUCUUUUUCUGUGUGACCGCGUAGCCUUCUCACUCGAGUUGUCCACUCGGGAACCUUGUGUCUAGUAAGCCCACUCUUAAUCAACCCAAGAUAGAGCUAAACCAACACCUUUUACGGUACAUGCAUCAUAUAAACCUAAGAGGCUUAAUACCCUUGGUGUAUCAAGUUCAUUAGUCAACUUUAUCCAAAUGUCCAAGUGGGUUCAAGACCCCGAGUGACUCUUAUCAUUUGUUUGUGCAUUAUUUGAAAAAUAGUUGUGCCAAAAUAUGGAUCGUUGGUUCUAAAUUAAUUAAACUUAGGAUGAAGGGAAUUACUAACCUUUUGUGAUGCAGAUAGCUAUAAAGAUCGCAAGUUUUGGCCUAUGGAGAUUAAAUCACGAACAUGCCAUGAGAAGAAGAUGCGUAAAUGCAAUGAAGAACUUUACCCCGAGUGACUCUUAUCAUUUGUUUGUGCAUUAUUUGAAAAAUAGUUGUGCCAAAAUAUGGAUCGUUGGUUCUAAAUUAAUUAAACUUAGGAUGAAGGGAAUUACUAACCUUUUGUGAUGCAGAUAGCUAUAAAGAUCGCAAGUUUUGGCCUAUGGAGAUUAAAUCACGAACAUGCCAUGAGAAGAAGAUGCGUAGAUGCAAUGAAGAACUUUAUUUUUAUUGCUUUUUGACUUGUAUUAAAGUUUAAAGCUAUUUUGGUAUUUAAUUCUGGGAAUAGAUUCGUUUAAUUAAUUAAAGAGCAAUGGAAUGACAUAUUUUGGC
rnacentral:lncRNA from 1 species